GCGCCUGUAGCUCAGUGGAUAGAGCGUUCGGUUGCGGUCCGAGAGGUCGUAGGUUCGAUUCCUGCCAGGCGUACCA
rnacentral:tRNA from 1 species